GAAUGGCUCAUUAUAUAAGUUAUCGUUUAUUUGAUAGCACCUUACUACUUGGAUAACCGUGGUAAUUCUAGAGCUAAUACAUGCUGAAAAUCCCGACUUCGGAAGGGAUGUAUUUAUUGGAUUAAAAACCAAUGCCCUCUGGGCUCUCUGGUGAUUCACGAUAACUUCUCGAAUCGCAUGGCCUUGCGCCGGCGAUGGUUCAUUCAAAUUUCUUCCCUAUCAACUUUCGAUGUUUGGGUAGUGGCCAAACAUGGUUGCAACGGGUAACGGAGGGUUAGGGCUCGACCCCGGAGAAGGAGCCUGAGAAACGGCUACUACAUCCAAGGAAGGCAGCAGGCGCGCAAAUUACCCAAUCCCGACACGGGGAGGUAGUGACAAUAAAUACUGAUACAGGGCUCUUUUGGGUCUUGUAAUUGGAAUGAGUACAAUUUAAAUCCCUUAACGAGGAACAAUUGGAGGGCAAGUCUGGUGCCAGCAGCCGCGGUAAUUCCAGCUCCAAUAGCGUAUAUUAAAGUUGUUGUGGUUAAAAAGCUCGUAGUUGAACCUUGGGCCUGGCUGGCCGGUCCGCCUCACCGCGUGCACUGGUCCGGCCGGGCCUUUCCCUCUGUGGAACCCCAUGCCCUUCACUGGGCGUGGCGGGGAAACAGGACCUUUACUUUGAAAAAAUUAGAGUGCUCCAGGCAGGCCUAUGCUCGAAUACAUUAGCAUGGAAUAAUGAAAUAGGACGUGCGGUUCUAUUUUGUUGGUUUCUAGGACCGCCGUAAUGAUUAAUAGGGACAGUCGGGGGCAUCAGUAUUCAAUUGUCAGAGGUGAAAUUCUUGGAUUUAUUGAAGACUAACUACUGCGAAAGCAUUUGCCAAGGAUGUUUUCAUUAAUCAGGAACGAAAGUUAGGGGAUCGAAGACGAUCAGAUACCGUCGUAGUCUUAACCAUAAACUAUGCCGACUAGGGAUCGGACGAUGUUAUUUUUUGACUCGUUCGGCACCUUACGAGAAAUCAAAGUGCUUGGGCUCCAGGGGGAGUAUGGUCGCAAGGCUGAAACUUAAAGAAAUUGACGGAAGGGCACCACCAGGGGUGGAGCCUGCGGCUUAAUUUGACUCAACACGGGGAAACUCACCAGGUCCAGACACAAUGAGGAUUGACAGAUUGAGAGCUCUUUCUUGAUUU
rnacentral:rRNA from 2 species